GAUGAACGCUAGCGGCAGGCCUAACACAUGCAAGUCGAGGGGCAGCAUAGAAUUAGUUUACUAAUUUGGUGGCGACCGGCGCACGGGUGCGUAACGCGUAUGCAACCUACCUUGUACUGGGGUAUAGCCCGGAGAAAUUCGGAUUAAUCCCCCAUAGUAUUAAUUAACCGCAUGGUUAAUUAAUUAAAGGUUACGGUACAAGAUGGGCAUGCGUCCUAUUAGCUAGAUGGUGAGGUAACGGCUCACCAUG
rnacentral:rRNA from 1 species